GACGUAGGGCGCGAGCGUUGUCCGGAUUUAUUGGGCGUAAAGAGCUCGUAGGCGGCUUGUCGCGUCGACUGUGAAAACCCGCGGCUCAACUGUGGGCUUGCAGUCGAUACGGGCAGGCUGGAGUUCGGUAGGGGAGACUGGAAUUCUUGGUGUAGCGGUGGAAUGCGUAGAUAUCAAGAGGAACACCUGAGGUGAAGACGGGUUGCUGGGCCAACACUGACGCUGAGGCGCGAAAGCCAGGGGAGCAAACGGG
rnacentral:rRNA from 1 species